GGGUCAUUAUUGUCCCUCUACAUUUGCAGACUUCUGAAACAAAAUUUUUCUCAAGGUAAAAUUUUUUAAAUUCCACAAAAUUUUUCUUAUAGUUUAUGACCACUGCUAACAUUUUUCUAAGUCAUAAAUAUUCCGGCAAAAUGAAAGAAUGUCACUUCCGUCAUUCAAUAAGUAGGAACUCAGGGCAAGAACUGCUGCUUCUCAUCAAUGGCAGUUGUCACCCAGUCCUUUGCAUUUAAUCUGUGGCACCGAUGAGCUCCCACCUUGGGCAGCCCUGACCUCCCCCCCCCCCCCCGCCCCGCCCCCCGGUACUAGGAGUGACCAUUUAGGCCAUAGCCACAUUUUUAAUGCUUAACCUGCCAGGUAAGCAGGAAAUCUCUUUCGAACCAGCUUCCCAAAGUGCAAAGAACCAAAUCCCUUGCAGCUGAGCCCACAGAGAGAAGCUGGGGAAUGACGUAUUUAAUUUCCUUUUCUUCUUGAACCAUUUUUACAACAACUAGCUCCUUUCCCAGGCAAGGCUAAGUGUCCUGGGAAUCAUCCUUGUAACGCCAGCUGGGUGCCACAAAGCAUUAUUAAUUGACUGUGGUUCCUUCUCUCAUGCGUGCAGAGGCCGCUGGAUCUGCUGAACAGUAGGGAGGUCUGUGUGCUUCAGGGCUGCCCUGCGUCCCUGCCUGCCCUGCAUGCCCUUUUCCGAGAGCACGCCUGCUUCUCUGUAGCCCUGCAAGUCUGGGUGGACAGAGGGACCAGGUCAGAAUACUUGGUAGGUGUCACUUAGGCUUCAUACCACUCCUAUGCCAACUCCCCCCAAGUUCUAACUUACAGGCCCAAAAAUGUCUGUGAGGUUGAUUUAUUGGCUGAGGUCCUACUAGUUGUGAUGUGUAAGUGUUCUGCUUAUGAAUGUUAAGACCUGUACUUGAUUUCAUUUUACUAAAAUAAGUGGGCCUGGGUCUUUUUUUUUUUUUUUUCCUCCAUCAGUUUAUCCAAGGCACAGCAGAGCUCCGUGGUGACACCUCACCACAUCUCAGGCAUCCGGGCUGUCUCCCGACCUCCCCACGGGCCACACUCAUAGUUCCUUGUCUUGUGCAGUUGUGAAUCUAUGUCAAACAAAAGACUGUCCUUAAAAUAUGAGCUGUGGGUCAGCUUGCUGUUUCUUUAGACUGUUGAUUUCUGAUGUUUCCAUGUAAUACUUGUGUGCCUACUGUAUGCCAGGCACUGUGCAGAGCCCUGGAAGUACCUCAGGUCCCAGACAGAUGAGGCCCCUGCCUUCCUGGAGCUUUUAUCCAUUCUCCUGACCCAGUGCCUAGGUUACCUGUGCCCACCUCCCUCAAAGGCCAGCUUCAGUGCCAUCUCCUUCAGGGACCCUUCCAUGGUUCCUCCUCCUGUUGCCCCUUCUCAACCCUAACAGGAUAUCAAUGGGUUCUGAACCAGAGUUUGCCUCUGAGAAAAAUCUGGAUUUUGAAGAAUGAAUGAUCCUGCCUAAAACGCAUCAUCUGUUUCUGGAAUCUUCACUAAUCUGUGUCUUGGGCGAAGGAAGGAACGGGACAGCAGUGAGACGGGCGUGUGCUGUCUAGUCCCAGCGUCGGAAGCACUUGGUGGGAAACCGCUGCCAACUCUGCUCCUGUAAUCACAGGGUUCACCUGCAGCAGGGAAUGGCG
rnacentral:lncRNA from 1 species